CAGUGGAGAAAACCUACAGGGAGAAAGAAACAGAGAAAAACAGCACACAAACACAGAAAACAGCACACAAACACCCAAGGCAUGUAACACCCCCUACCAUAAGAACAAACUAGUAUGACACUAGGAUCCACUAUUAUACUUACAUUCACAGGAUUUCACGUCACUGCAUAUUGUUUUCUAAGUUGGAUCAUUUUGCUAGACAGGAAUACAACUAAUGCACAUUUUGAUUGGUAUCUCACCCACAGGAAAGUGCAUCAGCCACCAGGUUGUCAGCCCCUUUUCUGUGCUGGAUGGUGAGGUUGUAUUCCUGAACCAGGAGAGCCCUGCUCAUCGACCACUGGUUGUGAUUAUACAUCUACUGCAGGAACUCAAGAGGGUUAUGAUCUGUGUAAACCAUGACAGGAGAAAAGCCAACAUACACCUCAAAAUGCUGGAGGGCUAACAACAUACCCAGGGUCUCCUUUUUAAUUUUAGAAUAGUUCAACUGAUGUUUCUUGAAUUUCACAGCAAAGUAGCACACUAGGUGGCACACAUCUCCUUCACCAUCCUGCAGGAGCACAGCACCUGCUCCAUUUGCCAACUUCUCAAGCUUGAAAGGCAAUGAGAAGUUUGGGGCAGCCAGUAAAGGGGCACUACAGAGGAGAGACUUAGCAGCACUAAAUGAAUAGUCACAUUCCUCCGUCCACACAGAAGGAACCACUGGACGACACAACCUAGUCAAGGGAGCAACCACCACAGAAAAGCUUUUACAGAAACACCGGCAAUAGCCCACCAUCCCCAGGAAACGGCAGAGCUCACGCCUUGUAGUGGGGAUCGAAAAGGACAGCACAGCCUCCACCUUUGCAUCUACUGGACGGACCUGCCAAAGCCCAACCUGCUUUCCCAUGUAGAUAACACUAGCCUUGCCAAACUUGCACUUUGCAGGGUUAAGCGUCAAGGAUGCUUUUGCAAGUCGCUGGAAAACUGUAUGUAGAGUAGCAAUAUGGCUCUCCCAACUACUCGCGUACACCACUACAUCAUCCAGAUAAACAUUGCAGUUUUGCACAUACCCCAGCACCAGGUGCAUAAGGCGCUGAAGAGUAGCAGGCGCACUUCUCAUGCCGAAGGCCAUAACUGUAUAGUGCAUGAAGUCAUCAGAAGUAACAAAUGCUGAUAUGCCAAAUGCAUGUGGAGUUAAUGGAACCUGCCAGUAACACUUAAGUAAGUCCAACUUUGUGAUGAAUGUGGAGGGUCCAAUGCUGUCAAUACAGUCCUCCAUAUGAGGCAAGGGGAAGGAGUCUGGCACAGUAACUGCAUUGACCUUCCUAAAGUCGGUGCAGAAACGAGGGGUUCCAUCAGAUUUUGGGGCAAGCAAACACGUAGAGCUCCAGGGACUCCUGCUUGGAUUAGCUAGACCAUUUUCUAUCAGGUAGUUGACUUCUUUUUUCAUGCUCUCUCUUUUCUCCAUUGAACAAUGAUAUGCAUGCUGCUUAAUGGGUUUCGCAUUGCCAACAUCAAUGUCAUGCUCCAACACUGUGGUGCAUGACAGCACAUCACCAAAUAAGGUGGGGUAGGAGCAGACUAAAUCAAUUAUGUCAUGACACUGGGCUUCGGGGAGGUAUGACAAGUGACUAUCUAUGCCAGACAACAGCUCAGAGUUUGAUAGCCUAUCACCAUGGGUACCGUCAGCUGGACCCACCAACCCAUCAGACUCAGCUGUGACACAGAUCAAUGAACGAGAGGCCACUACUGGAACAGCAGCUUUAGACUCCUCCGGACCAGCUGCCCUGGAAUAGAAAGGUUUGAGCAUGUUAAUGUGGCACAAACAAGUUUUCCUCCUAUGCUCAGGUGUGUGGAUAACAAAGUUUGUAUCUGGCACUCUACUUUCUGCCACAUAGGGACCAGAGAAGCCAGAAGUGAGAGCAGAACCAGGUGAAGGUAACAGCACAAGAACCUUAUCGCCAGGCUGAACUGCCACUCAACCACCUCUCCUACACACCUGCCUGAGAGGAAGAGAGCAAGGCAGCACGGUGCAGAUGUUCUCUGCAUUUGGAAACAAAAUCAGACUCAUUAAGUUGAGGAGAUGUACUAGACCCAAAUUUAUCUUUCAACACUUUCAAGGGGCCAAGCAAAUUGUGGCCAUAGAUCAAAUCAAAUCAAAUUAAAUUUUAUUUAUAUAGCGCCAAUUCACAACAGUUGUCAUCUCAAGACGCUUUUCAAAGAACAAGAGCAGAUCUAGAUCACGCUCAUCGUUUGAUGAUCAAGAACCAACCUAAGAUGGGUUUUGGCCCAUCUCAUCUAACAUAAGUAGCAGUGGCAAGAAAAAACUUCCUUUUAACAGGCAGAAACCUUGGGCAGGACCCGACUCAUGCCAGACAGCCACCAUGCUGCUGUUGGGUUGGGGAGGAAUGUAGAGAGAUUGAGGGAGUGAGGGAGAGAGGGAGAGAGAGAGAGAGAGAGAAGAGGGGAGGGGGCAGGGGGGAAGAGUGAGAGAACAAGGUAAGGGGAAGGAGCGAGAGAAUGAGUAAGGAGAGGGAGGGGGAGGGAGAGAGAGUAGAGAAUGAGGGUGAGAGAGAGACAGGGGACAGCAGAAACAACAGCAACAACAAGAACAGCUCAUGUAAUAGUGAAACAAAAUAAAUUCAGUUUACAGGACAAUGUUAAAUUAAUUAAAUGUGAUAACAGUCAGCAGGCCUAAUAGUAGUCAACUCUAGUUUUAUGUUCUUAAUGUCAGUGAGCCUGAUGUUCAUGUCUGCAGUAACAGUCCAGAGGAAUCCAAGAGAAGAAGGAGCUCAGGGCCCGAGGCAGACAAUCAUAGACGAUGCGGCUAAAGUCAGGCAGGUCUGCAGCAGCCAUCAGUCCAGAGCAACCCAGGAGGCUGGGGCUCAGAGACAUACAGAGAGAUCUGGUUAGCAAUUUGAUGGGAGAAAAUGACUUCAAUGUACAGGAUAAUGAAGUAACUGAUUAUGGACUAUGCUAAAUUAAUUUAAGGUAAUUAAAGUUAAAACUCAAUGGCAGUUUCCUCUAGUUUUAUUUUAUAGAUGUCAAUUAGGCCGACAUACAUGUCUGCAGCAACGGUCCAGAGGAGCCUAAGAGAUGGAGGAGCUCAGGGCCUGAGGCGGACAUUCAAGGACAAUGCAGCUGGGGUCAGGCAGUUCCACAGCAGACCGUCUGCAGCAUUAGUCCAGUGGAAGCUAAGAGACUCAGGGACACUCAUAUGGGACAUAAAGAUCUAAAGGAGAGAUAGAGACAGACUCUAGCUCAGUGUGCCAGAUAACCCUGGCAGUCUAAACCUAUAGCAGCAUAACUAAGAGCUGGUUCAAAUCAGCCCCAACUAUAAGCGUUAUCAAAGAGGAACGUUUUAAGUCUACUCUUGAAAGUUGAGAGGGUGUCUGCCCCCCGAACCUCGAGCAGUAAAUGAUUCCAGAGGAGAGGUGCCUGGUAGCUGAAAGCACUUCCUCCAAUACUACUUUUAGAGACAUUUGGUACAACGAGCAGGCCUGCAGACUGUGAGCAUAACGGUCUAGACGGAAAGUAAAGUAUAACAAGUUCGUCGAGAUAUGAUGGAGCCUGGCUGUUAAGCGCUUUAUAUGUCAUAAGGAGGAUUUUAAACUCAAUUUUAGAUUUAAUAGGGAGCCAAUGAAGAGAGGUUAAGACAGGAGAGAUGUGCUCCCUUCUUCUGGUUCUAGUCAAUACCUGAGCUGCUGCAUUUUGGAUCAGCUGAAGAGUCCUUAAUGACUUACUGGAGCAGCCUGAUAAGAGAGAAUUACAGUAAUCCAGCCUAGAGGUAACAAAGGCAUGGACUAGUUUUUCUGCAUCACUCUGAGACAAGAUUGGUCUAAUUUUUGAGAUAUUGUGCAGGUGGAAAGAAGCUAUCCAAGAGAUUUGUUGAAUGUGGGAGCUAAGGGACAAAUCCUGAUCAAAUAAAACUCCCAGAUUUUGCACAGUGGGGCUGGAUGCCAGACUGAUGCCAACUAGCGUAGCUAUAUUUUUAGAGAAUGCUUCUCUAAGGCGUUUAGGACCGAGACAAGAACUUCAGUUUUGUCUGAGUUGAGCAUCAGAAAGUUAUUGGUCAUCCAGGAUUUUAUAUCUUUGAGACAAGCUUCUAAUUUGGUAACCUGGUUUGCUUCUUCUGGCUUCAUGGAUAAGUAUGUCAUCUGCAUAACAGUGGAAAUUAAUCAAGUAUUUCCUCAUAAUUUUACCCAGAGGAAGCAUGUACAAGGUAAAGAGGAUCGGUCCAAGCACUGACCCUUGUGGGACUCUGUAGCAGAUCUUCGUGUGCACAGAGGAUUCAUUAUUAAUAUGGACAAAUUGGAAUGGAUCCGUUAGAUAAGAUUUAAACCAGGAAAGAGCGAAUCCUGCUAUGCCAAUGGAUUGUUUCAGUCUCUGAAGCAGGAUGUGGUGGUUGAUCGUGUCAAACGCAGCACUAAGAUCCAACAGGACAAGAACAGAGAGAAGACCACUGUCUGAAGCCAUGAGUAGGUCAUUUGUCACCUUCGGCAGAGCAAUCUCCGUGCUGUGAUGGGUUCUAAAUCCAGACUGGAAAUCCUCCAAUAAACCGUUGUUAUGAAGAAAAUCACAAAGUUGAUUUGCAACAACUGUCUCUAGGACUUUAGAAAUAAAAAGAAGGUUGGAUAUUGGUCUAUAGUUAGCAAGGGUGCUUGAGUCAAGAGUAGGUUUUUAAGGAGAGGUUUAAUCAGGGCAGUUUGAAAAGACUGGGGAAUAUAUCCUGUUAAUAAAGACGUAUUGAUCAAGCUAAGCAAGGACGUACUGAUCAAAGGAAGAGUUUCCUUCAGCAAUUUAGAUGGAAUUGGGUCUAAAAGACACGUAGAUGGUUUGGCUGCCAACACCACUGAAUUUAACUCAGGAAGGUCAAUGGGUGCAAAGUUACUAAGGUGCACCAGAGGCCUUAGGGGCUCCUCAACAAUUUCAGGGUUAUCUAAGAGAGAGACACCUGUCGGAGGCAAGAGGUUACUAAUUUUACCUUUUUUUUCAUUGAAGAAGUUCAAGAAGUCGUUGCUGCUGAGGGUUAAUGGGAUACAUGGUUCAGCUGUGCUCUGACAGUCCAUCAGCCUGGCUACAGUGCUGAAGAGAUAUCUGGGGUUAUUCUUAUUUUCUCUAAUAAGGGACGAGUAGUAAGUUGUCCGAGCAC
rnacentral:lncRNA from 1 species